rnacentral:rRNA from 1 species
GAUGAACGCUGGCGGCGUGCCUAAUACAUGCAAGUCGAGCGAACGGACGAGAAGCUUGCUUCUCUGAUGUUAGCGGCGGACGGGUGAGUAACACGUGGAUAACCUACCUAUAAGACUGGGAUAACUUCGGGAAACCGGAGCUAAUACCGGAUGAUAUUUUGAACCGCAUGGUUCAAAAGUGAAAGACGGUCUUGCUGUCACUUAUAGCUGGAUCCGCGCUGCAUUAGCUAGUUGGUAAGGUAACGGCUUACCAAGGCAACGAUGCAUAGCCGACCUGAGAGAGUGAUCGGCCACACUGGAACUGAGACACGGUCCAGACUCCUACGGGAGGCAGCAGUAGGGAAUCUUCCGCAAUGGGCGAAAGCCUGACGGAGCAACGCCGCGUGAGUGAUGAAGGUCUUCGGAUCGUAAAACUCUGUUAUUAGGGAAGAACAGAUGUGUAAGUAACUGUGCACAUCUUGACGGUACCUAAUCAGAAAGCCACGGCUAACUACGUG